AAGACCUUUAAACUAGUCCAGAGAGGCUGUAAGGAGAGAUUUAGUUAUAAUAUUUGUAUCUGUUUAUGCAGACUUCUUACAGUUGUAAGAAGUCUUUUUUUAU
rfam:Clostridium fallax strain DSM 2631 genome assembly, contig: Ga0131101_102